rnacentral:tRNA from 1 species
GGGUAUAUAGCUCAAAUGGUAGAGCAUUGGACUUUUAAUCCACAGGUUCUAGGUUCAAAUCCUAGUAUACCCA